ensembl:lncRNA
GGCAACCUUUGGAAGUGUUAGCUCUGCAGAGCCUUGGAAGCUAGAAGCUCCCCACCACAAUACCAGUAAAUGUUUUUGUGCUGGUAGUACUGGAAGCAGUAACACAAACCAAGAUCAGAUGUUUUCCAGCACUUGACUUUAAAGACUGCUGAUACAUUGCCUGGACAGGCAGAUCACAUCUUGGAAACUGUUCUUCAUGCCUGUUAAGUAACAGAUUUGUAUGUUGAGGAAAUGGAUGAAGAUCCUGCAGAUGCUAAGCAACUUGUACCUCAGGGGAUUAAAAUGACAGCCUGUUCCAUAAAUCCUUGAGGAUUAACAACACAUAUGUUCAAGCAUCAAAUCAUAGCAAAAGAAAAAGAGGAGCUUGUUUUUGUCUUGGAGCAUUAUCACAGCAGAUAGUAGAGACAUGGAACGUAUGUAUAUUAAGUAAAGUUGGGCAAAUGUAUAAGAGUAGAAUAAAAUUUCACUGUUUUUACCUUCUUUUGUUAAUCAGGCCAUUGUAUUGUUGUAUAUUUAUACUAAAGAGAACAAAUACUUGGAUUUUUAUUUCAGAAAGGGUUUGUGUUCUUGUCUGAGUUAAUGCUUGAGAACUAUAUUAUGGCAGUGUAUUGUGCCAACAGCAGCUACGCUCCUGCUAAAUUUUAGGUGAUUACCUGUGUGAGCUAUUCCACUUAAUAAUUAGAAAACAUUUCUCUUGAGUUGCAGUGCUGCAAAUAGAAAUCAGUUCGCGUUAGUUUUGAAACAAUCUUGUCGUCAUAAAUUUCCUUUUAUGAUCUUGUCUUCAUCUAGUUCACUGUAUACCCCAAAGGUUAUUUUCUUUUCAACCCUUAACAGUUAACAUACCAUAGAAAAAAUAUGCAGGUAUUUGAGAGGGAUGGGAUAUUGUAUUGGAACUGUUAAACUGAACUCAGCUGCUGACUUACAAGUGUCAGCAUUUUCUGAGUUUUGUAAAGAAGUGAACCAUACUGGGUGGAUGCCAAAAAGUACUCCUUUAUGUUCUCAUCAGUGGUGUACACGGAUGAAACUCUUCAGCUGUAAGAAUAGUUGUUUCAUUUUUAAUUUAGCUAAACUUCUGGGGAUUUGAAUUUUGGGCAAAACCUUGGUGUGGUGAUUUAUUUACUGGUUUGGCUGUUUGGGGUGUUGAGAAAUUCUUGUUCUCUCCAUUUUGAGUAUCAAUACUGAAGUACUUUGUCAAGAUCCUUGCACUUUGACUAUUUCUAUCUGAGAUUCAAAGCACUUCUAAAUGAUCAAGAUUAUAUCUAGACUGUGAGAGAAAUGUAUUCAUGGAACACCAACAUCCUGUUUUAUUGACUGUCCCAGUUGUGCAUCUCCCUGUUUUGACAUUCAAAACAUAGUGAUUAUUAUUACAGACAUGGUUCGCUUAUAAUGUAUGGUGAAAUAGAUCAUUAGAGUAAAUUAUAUAUUCUUCACUGUAUGUGGUCAGACAUCACUGUACCAGAGGGCUUUACAGGGUUACUGUCCCUUUUCUGCCUGUGCUGUGUUGCUGUACUGCUCCUUCUGCAAGCAGCUUCGUUAUUCCUGCUUGUGGAAACAACACUGUAUCAUCAAAAUCACUUUGUGAAACUAUCUACAUAUUUCUUAUGGAAAGUAUUGAAAAUCUCCAAGAACCAACUAAAGGCAUAAUGAAGGUUGGUAGAUUGCUGAAACUCAGUCUGAUUCUGUGAUGUAAGAUACAAUAUAGGUACAUAAACUUUGGUGAUGAAUAACUAAAUCUUUUCUUUCUUUACUUCUAGUUAGCAUGUAGGUCCUUUUUUCUGUCUAUAAUCUACUUAGCAUGACACUUUCCUUGCUGCACAAGCAUUUUUUUAAUUAUAAAGAUAUUAUUCCAAUUAAAUAUUACACAUCCCUUCAGUGAUUACUUCUUCCAGGUGGAAGAAUCAUUAAUGACAGCAUUACUAGGUGUGUAAGUUUUAGUAAUCAGGCUGGAAAUGCUUUUAUUGGGGGCUUGGUCCUGUGAAGUGUUGUAUACCUUGGAUUGCCAAGGACUCCAGAAGCAACAUGAGCACCUAAAAUGAAUGCUUUGUAGUUUUUAGACCUGGACUUUGCUUCCCUUCAUAAAUUAAUUGGCUUAGGGAUAGGUGAUAGCAUUGCAAGUCUCACACAUAGAGUGUGGCUAGAAUCCGGGGACUGUGUUGACUGGUAGUCCAUUUCAACAUGACAGAAACUUUGCUCUGCCAUAUAUCUCACACACUGAAACAACAAAAAAUAUUUUUCCAUUCACUUGUAUGAGUUUAGCAUCCAUAUGCCCACAGCCAAAGAAAUAUUUCUCCCUAAAACUAGUUUGUUUGUGUCAGAAUCUUUCGUAAGUGGACUCUGUUUUUGAGGACUCUGGUGUUUAACCACUCUGAUGCAACCAAAUCAUUACCUAAAUGUGAGCUUUCAUGGAGUCAUAUCCAUAUACAACAUAUAAAUGCUCUGACGCAAACAAUUUUACUAAUUACCAUUCUUUCUAUAACCUUUCUGAAUCAAAAACUGUUUAGGCCAAUAUUUGGAGAAAGCUAUUUCCUGCAAAUAAUUUAUCUUUCUGAAAAUGUAUUAUUUCUUAUUUUUAAUUUGUGAAACAGAGACAGAAACUCUCCACUACAUAGACUUCUGAGUACCUUUCUGGCUCUCAAACCUAUAAGAAUGCUCUGCUGCAAUUACAGGAGUGGAUAUUCCUUUUUGUCUUCCUGUACAUCAGCACGUUGACAUUUCAUCAGUGACAUGCAUUUUCCGUGUGACUUUAUCUAAUUAUUAAAAUCUGCCUGCAUAUGACUAUUUCAGAGUUAUCUCCUCUCAGAACUAUUAUCAUGCCUUAAAAUGCUUGCAACUGUGAAAACUCAUAGCCAGAUGUUUCCUAAUGAACAGUGUGUGCUAUGGUCAGUUACACGUGAACUGCAUAAAUACGAACUUUCAAAACAAUAUGUGUUUUGUACUCGAGUUGCUCCAUGCUAGUGACUGUCCCCACCAAAAGCAGUUUCCUGGCAGAAGAUAAGGGUACAGAAGCUGUUAGAGCACAAAACCCAGCCCUCUUUCUGGGGUGUUUUUAUAUAUGUUUUUUUGCACACCACCCAAAAGUGCUCUGGGAAAUCAUAAAGAUGCAGAAAAGGAUCCUUGCACACAUUACGUAUGGAAUAUCAGUGCAAUUGUGGUGCCAUGAAUUCUGUAUGCCAGGUUUCAAGUUUGGGACUGAAUGAAGUCACUUGUCUAGAAGUCAGGCAAAUUUAUCAGGACAGAAAGAUACUUUUCUAGGACAGUGCUUUCUUGGUGGAGUAAAAUUGACUUUUGGAGGGACUGCAUAUAUUCAGGUACCGUUUGAUUAAUUAGAAACAUUUUUAUUCAGCAUCUCAACUAUUUCUGAAAAACUGAAGCAACCACGAGUGGCAAUUUCCAUCUAAGAGAUAUAUUUUGUUAGACAGUUUGCAUUUUUGUGCUUUUUAGGUAUGCAUAAAUAUAUUACUAUUAAAGAAAAAGAACUUAAGAAUCCAUUUUGGCCAUCGUUAUUUAUGAUUUUGGUUUUUAUGAUUGUCUUAGCUUCUGUACUUAUCACAGAAGAAUAACAGUGUCAGUGUAAUACAGGCGAUGCUUCACUGAUGAUCAGUAUUUUUCUGUUAAUCAUUGAUUACCUUUUCUUAUAGGAAAAAGGAGAAAGCAUAUGCAGUGUUGGUACUGUGAUGUUGAAAAAAGUUACAAAAUGCUGUCUCAAGGCAUUCCAUUACAUGUACCAGAGUAUUAUGUACUUCUUUG